UACCAGCACCCCGAGUGGUCGGGACGAUUAUUGGGCCUAAAGCAUCCGUAGCCGGUCCUGCAAGUCUUCCGUUAAAUCCAGCUGCUCAACAGAUGGGCUGCGGAAGAUACUAUAGGGCUAGGAGGCGGGAGAGGCAAGCGGUACUCAGUGGGUAGGGGUAAAAUCCUCUGAUCCAUUGAAGACCACCAGUGGCGAAGGCGGCUUGCCAGAACGCGCUCGACGGUGAGGGAUGAAAGCUGGGGGAGCAAACCGGG
rnacentral:rRNA from 1 species